GAAAUAGCUAAAAAAUAUGGAUGAUAUUGGCACCCAAAAGAAAUAAAACUUUAUUUUCUACACUUAGAAAUGAUAAAAAGCCAAAAUGACAACAAAUCGGGAGUAUAUAAAGUUCCUAUCUAUAAUAAGACUUUAGGUCAGCAAGAAGAAUAUCAGGAUAAUGAUUAGAAAUCUCUUACAAAAGAUCAUUGACCAUCAGCAAGAUAUGAAUCCCUGUUUAAAUACAUCUCUGGCUAAAAGGUUUUAUGAAUACAAUCUGGACAUAAAUUGGAAGAAGCAGAAAUCAUAAGAAUAGGUGUUAAGCAGAAGCAUGUAUAUCUACAAGAAUCAUUAUUUUAUAGUUUUGAGCAGAAAGGAGACUACACAUGAACCUCAUAAAUGAACAAGCUAGUAAACCGUUCUCUAAUGCAUGGAGUUGUGGAAUUGACCAUAAGUUACAAACUUUUAAUGCUGAAAUUAUCAUUAUUUUUGUCAAUAUGUCCAUGUUUAAUAAUUUAUUUAUAAUAUUUUUUCUUAUUAAUAAUAUAUUUUUAUUACUCUCUGAAAUAUUUAUAACUUUUUCUGUAAAAAGCAAC
rnacentral:lncRNA from 1 species